UACGUAGGGUGCGAGCGUUGUCCGGAAUUACUGGGCGUAAAGAGCUCGUAGGUGGUUUGUCGCGUUGUUCGUGAAAACUCACAGCUUAACUGUGGGCGUGCGGGCGAUACGGGCAGACUGGAGUACUGCAGGGGAGACUGGAAUUCCUGGUGUAGCGGUGGAAUGCGCAGAUAUCAGGAGGAAUACCGGUGGCGAAGGCGACUCUCUGGACGGCAACUGACGCUGAGGCACGAAAGCGUGGGGAGCAAACAGG
rnacentral:rRNA from 1 species